ensembl:lncRNA
CUCGGCACUUGGUCAUGUGACACAGUUCCCACCAAUGAGACGGGAGCAGGCAUUCCGCAGGGCGUUCUGGGAAAGCUCCCAGAAGGGCGGGCGGCUGGCCUCAUGUGGCUCACCCUCUGUCCAUCCUGAAAGGGAACCUGACGCCAGAGGAGCUGCACUGUGACCGCAGAGCAGGCCUCACCGAGGACGCCGAGGGAGGUGGAGGAGGAGGCUGGGCCCACGGGCAUCUUGGAGCUGCUGGGCCUGCACCGGCCCCGCCAGACACCUCAUUGGGAACUGAGAGUGGACUCCUUGUCCACUUCAGGCCAGUUAAGACCACGAACCCAUCAUUGGGCCAGCACGAAUGCCUGAAAGGUGACCUUUUGAUGUCAGAGGGCCGAAAACUCCACCCUCAGAUCCUGGUAACGCUGCCGUUUUGUGAACAUGUGUCCUCUGAGGAGAUGAAGAGCCGUGGAGCUUCACUGUUCCUGUGCAGAUUAUCAGUUGCCUCCCUUCUCACCUCCAGGCAUCUAUGCUCGUGCUUCAGACCACUCUGCCCAUAAAUAGCCCAUAAACAUCCCUCAUCCCCAUUUUCGGGGAGGUGGAUUUGAGACUUGUUCUGCCACCUCCUCACUUGUCUGCCUUGUGAACAAACCCUUUCUCUCGGCCGCAACCUCGUCGUCUCAGUGAUUGGCAUACUGUGUAGCAGGCAAAACGAGCCUCGUCCCGUAACACCUGCACCUUCCUCUGGGCAUGUGCAGUGACUUUCUAAAUUCCCCUGUAUGUGCAUUGCUUUUGAAUGUCCUCCUCCUUAAACAGCUGGGUCCUAAAAGAGAAAAAAGAGAAAUUAAGGGGGAAAAAAUGCACCAGCCCUUUAAGUCCCCUGGAAGUCACUUCAGCUGGAGGGGAAGGGGUUUGCAACAAGGGCUGCUCACCUCUGCGUCCGCACCUCCCCAGUCAGAAGAAGCGAUCAGUGAUCAGAACACAGAUCCCGAUAUUUGGAGGACAGAGGCCUGUUGCCCACAGCUGUGUACAAGCUGCUCCAGGAACGCUUGCACUGCCCCCUGACACGGGGUCAGGGAGUGGGGGAUGGGUAGCUGCUACUAAGCUAAGAGCUGAAAUUAACCACAAUUUACUGGCCAAGACUUCCCCUGGGAGAAGUUGCCAGCCUUUAAAAGACUCCAGACUUCCAAAGUAGUCACAUCGGACAGACCCUGCCAGUACUGUUGUUAUCUGGCUGAGCAGGAGGAUUCCUGGUGCUUCCUACGCCACCAUCUUCCCCUGAGCUGUGCGACCUCGAGACAGUCACUUAAGCCCUCUUGGUCUCUGUUGCCUUGCCUGUGAAAAUGAGGGGGUUGGACCAAGGGGUUUGAAGAUCCUUCUAAUCCUAAAAGCCUGGGAUUCUAUACCGAGGACAAUAGGAGCUCCAGUAUCAUUGGACUAUUGGGAAAAGGAGAUGAGAUGAGCCAUAAUACAUAACUAUUUGUGUUUUUUCCCUCUAUUUUGUUUCUAUUAAUAUGUUUUACUGCCCCCCCCCAAAUUCAUUAAAGAACAUCUGUGGGUUUUUAUGGCGGAGUUCCCCUUCAUUCUUUUACUAGGGAAGCUGUACCCCUCCCUACUCUCAGCCUCUGUGGCUCAGGUAGGGUUAACCUCUCUCAUGGGUUGGACCCUGAUUGGCCUGAGCCGGUCUGCACAUCCUAACUCUCUGUGUUUUCUGAUGGUACGGGGGUGGGGUGUGUCUCUUAGAGCCAGUGGCCUGGGACUUUUGAUCAACUAUGAAAAAGAGAACUUUUUUCUUCUCCACUGGACUGCAAUCUGAAUGGAACACAUCCAGCCACCAGGAAGGGGGGCCCGAGAGUGGUCUUGCAUAGAGGAGAGUUGCUGAAAGAUGAAGAAAGAAGAAGCAGGUCCUGGGUGGCCUCGUUUGAGCCCCUGGGUCAAGCUGCUCCUGGAGGCUGCCCUGUCUCUGAGCUUCUCUGUAUAACCCAAUAAAUCCCUCUGAGCUCAAGCCAGGGUGUACUGAGGUCCCUGUUGCAGGAUGUGGAAGAGCCUGAUGGCUGCCCCCCCAGCAUCUAGGGCUCCUGGUACCACCCCCACCCAGCUCAGCAAGUUGCCUGGGAACCCAACUCAAGUGGACAGCCACUUAUCUGAGCAGCUACUGUGUGCCAGGCACGGUGCUGAGAGCUUCCCACAGCCCCUCCCCUGUGACCCUCACAACUUCCUGUGAAGGAGGUUCGUCAGCCUCCCCCCGGAGCCCCUCCUCCACCCUCAUUCUGCAGGUCACAUCCCCCCCAACCCGCUAGCCUUCUCCUCUGAAAACCAGCACAGUCACACCCAUUUACCCUGGAGUGAGAUUUGGUUUAAGUGGGAUUGUGGAUCUGUUACCCAGCCCACCGACCCCAUAAGACAUUAACCACAGCCCCGCUCGGAACAAGCCUAACCACUCCAGGAGCUGAGAAGUUGACUUGUGAAUGUAGUUCUCGCUUCUCCAUUCUUUGGCCACUGAAUAAAGCUUGUGCUGUUGAAUGCUCAGCUUUGUUUGGAUCAAAUCUGUGACAUGGAACAGGAAAGAAUCCUCCAAGGAAGGGACAGACUGUGGGUGCGAGGCCCACCCAUAGGCCCCUCCUCAGAGCUCCUCCGAGUGAGGGUGAGAGUCCCACCGGAGUGAGUGAAAUCGGUAACAGAGCCAGUGCACCAACUCCUGCAAGAAGCUCCAUAAAUGGGGCUCUGUCUUCUCUCUCUGCUCCAGGCUCAGGCCUCUGUGUCAGCUCCAUUCAGAGCAGGAGGUACGUGAGCAGCUCGCUUCCUGCCACUGGCAGGCUCUGCUUUCACUGCGCAGCCCACUGUCAGCGGGGAGCCCUGGGCCCUGGUUACCAGCUGAAACCAUCUGGAUCCCCUCCUCACUAUACUGCCUGGUGUGUCAUUCUGGCACUGCAGCCUCUCAGAGCCCCUGCCUGCCUCCCUCUGGCCAUCCCCCUCCCUGUGAUGAAGCCUCCCCCCCGUUUUGCUCCGUGUCUCCAGGGGCUCGUUCCUCAGGUGGUGGGGCCUGGGAGAGAAAAGGCAGAGGAUAGGCUGGGGGGUGAGGUUGAGGAAAGAGUGAGACCCCUCCCCCUCUCUUCUUUGAGACAAAGCCAUCAGCCCCCCAGAGAGGGUAGGAGAAUGACUCAGACACCCCCUCUCCCUGUGGGGGCAGAAUUGGGGUGAGGAAUGGAGCAGGGACGUGCUGUCUCACCCAGGAGAGAAAAUGACUCAAGAUGCAGAGUUCAGUUGCACACACGGGGUCCCUCUCGUCCCAUCCCAGGCUUUAUUUCCUUUGUAGCUCAUGCUUCAAACAGAUUGUUAUUCUUCUGAUAAGACUAGUUCAUUGAAGGGUCUUUGAUGGUUAUUUUACUUCUCCCAGGUAUAUUCCAGACAAGAAGGUCAACUCCAAGAAAGGAGAUCCAUUAACCAGUGCUAAGCUGCCAGUCGUUAGAGGAGGGAGCUCUAGACGGAGACGAGAAGAGGAUGAAAACUCCCAGUGGGCUGCUCCCUUGCAGGAUCUCCCCAGCACCCGCAACUGACAAGGUCUAACACUGCAGCAUGUGGCACAGGAGACGUGUGCAGGGUCCAGCUUCAGUACCACAAUGCAGGACAAAGAGGAGUGAAAUCUGAACCGAGAGGCAAUAAAUUGAUAAUGAGCACAGUCCCCUAAUUUUCAGAGCAUUAAUAGAGAGGUCUUUUCUAAAGAUGCUGAGUGUUGGAAGUGGGAAAAAGUCCAGGGCCUUAUCUGAUGCCAGAAUCCUUUCAAUAAAAAUAAAAUGUUGAUAGUAAAAGCAACAUCACCUCUCAGGCCGGUAUUGUGUAUAUGUAAUACAAAUAUUAGUUCAUUUAAUCUCCACAAUAACCCAGUGAGGUAGAUAGUGUUAUUUCCCCCAUUUUACAAAUGAGAAAAUGGUGAGUGAGGGAGGUGAAAUAGUUUGUUCUGAAAGAACACAGCAGCUGUCAUUCAAACCCAUGCUGCCCUGAUAUUGCGCCUUCUAGGAAAUAGUGCCUAAUUACUACGUGCACACCUGUAAGGAGAGGGAGCCGAUCAUCGCCUGAGGUCUCCCAUACCAUCUCUGAACAUCUUUGACUGCUGAGACUCUCUUUCUUCAGCCCACGUUGAGGGUGUGUACUCUUCCACGCGUCAGCCCUUUUGGAUAUGCAGAUACUUGUUUGAUCUCUUUAGGGUUUUUCCUUCUCCCGGUUCAGCAGCUCUCCUUCCUUCUGCAUUUCCCAUCAUGCUCUUCUGACCAAGCUCAAGUUUUCUCUCUGCCUUUUGUUGACGAAAAUAAUCCAUAACCAAUCUAUAAAUGAAAAUUUGGGAGAGUUUAUUCUGAGCUGAAAUCUGAGGACCACGGUCCGGGGCCUUUCUUCCCAAAGGAGGAAAGGGCACCGAAGAAGUGGGGUGCACAGAGUGGUCAUAUACCCACAUACAGGACAUUUCACAUGUGAUUGAAAUGUCCCUUUUACGAUAGUCGCGAGACUGCUCUGUCGGCACAGCAAUUGAUGGAAACAGGAGGUAGGUCUGCUGUCUUGGUGAACAGAGCAGGGUGGCAGGUCUGCUGUCUCAAGCUGGGUGGUCACAGGUGAGAGCAGCAAUCAGUUCCUAGCCUAAGGAAAGAUGCUUAAUCCUUAAGGAAAUGACAAUGUUGGGAGGGGGAGGAAAGUUGCACCUUUAUCUCAAGGGCCUUUGUUCUGGCCAUAGGAAAUGUUUUAAAGCAGAUAUACAAGGUGUGCUCAACAGCCACAGUCAGGCCCUUUUGGAAAAAACAAAGUCAGGCCGAAUUAGGUUUAUACCAAAUGGCUUCCUCAUAUACUGCAAUAUAUACUAUUGCUUGCCAUUUUUAUUUGUCACUUUUAUAUUGUCAUGCAAGGUGGGUGCAGCUCUCCAACCAUGGUCUUCCCAGGGCAGGGCCCCACUGCCCGCCUCUGCCUAUCCCAAGGAUCUAACAAAGCAGGUCAGAUAAUUUCUCUGAGCCUUGGUUUUCCUUUUCUGUACUUCUGGGUCAAAAAUGUCUGUCUAACUGAGUUUCUCGGGGGCGGGGUGCUGGCUCUAGAAAAUAACGUAUAGGAAAGUGCCUAGCACAGUGUUUGACUCAAUAAAGAUUGGAAGAAACUAGAUCUAGUCCACUGAUACAUGGAGAAAACCUGGGAAUUAUUCUCAGUGCAACCGUGUGCCAGAGCACGAGCUAGACUCCAGGUUUCCUGAUAACCAAGCACGACGUCUCCUCACAUUUCAGAGGCAAAAACCAGCUUCUCUCCUCUUGGAAUCAACAGUGAGCCACAUCCCAUGAAGGUGGCCGUGUGCCCUUUCUCAAGCAUCAGAGGUACCAGAAUUAGUCAGGGGCACCGUUCACAGAGCCGGCCGUGGUGCCAGGAUCAGCCCUUUUCCUUCUGCCUCCUUUUCUCCUCUCCCUCCCUCCCUCUGUGAUGAUUGCACAUCCUACAAGAGUUAAGCACAUUUGCAGAGAGUUCCCAAUGGCUGGCGGGUCCCUCUGAGGACCAUUGUGCAUUCCCUGUAAUGGCGCUCAUUAGUCUGUCUGACAUCAACACUAUUCUCAGGUUAAUAUGUUUAAUUU